GGAUCGCAAGACCUUACGCUUUUGGAGCGGCCGAUGUCUGAUUAGCUAGUUGGUGAGGUAAAGGCUCACCAAGGCGUCGAUCAGUAGCUGGUCUGAGAGGACGACCAGCCACACUGGGACUGAGACACGGCCCAGACUCCUACGGGAGGCAGCAGUGGGGAAUUUUGGACAAUGGGGGAAACCCUGAUCCAGCCAUGCCGCGUGAGUGAAGAAGGCCUUCGGGUUGUAAAGCUCUUUCAGCCGGAACGAAACGGUCACGGCUAAUACCUGUGACUACUGACGGUACCGGAAGAAGAAGCACCGGCUAACUACGUGCCAGCAGCCGCGGUAAUACGUAGGGUGCGAGCGUUAAUCGGAAUUACUGGGCGUAAAGCGUGCGCAGGCGGUUCUGUAAGUCAGAUGUGAAAUCCCCGGGCUUAACCUGGGAACUGCGUUUGAA
rnacentral:rRNA from 1 species